rnacentral:rRNA from 1 species
AACUAUGUGCCAGCAGCUGCGGUAAUACAUAGGUCGCGAGCGUUAUUCGGAUUUAUUGGGCGUAAAGCAAGCGCAGGCGGACAGAUAAGUUUUGUGUUAAAAGCAGUUGCUCAACAAUUGUUUGCGCUGAAUACUGUCUGUCUAGAAUACGGUAGGAAGUUUUGGAAUUGAAUAUGGAGCGGUGGAAUGUGUAGAUAUAUUCAAGAACACCAGAGGCGAAGGCGAAAACUUAGGCCGCUAUUGACGCUUAGGCUUGAAAGUGUGGGGAGCAAAUGGGAUUAGAUACCCCAGUAGUCCACACUGUAAACGAUGGAUAUUAGAUGUUGGGACUUGCGUCUCAGCGUUGUAGCUUACGUAUUAAAUAUCCCGCCUGGGUAGUACAUAUGCAAAUAUGAAACUCAAAGGAAUUGACGGGGACCUGAACAAGUGGUGGAACAUGUUGCUUAAUUCGAUAAUACACGAAAAACCUUACCAAGGUUUGACAUCCCCCGCAAAGCUAUAGAAAUAUAGUGGAGGUUAUCGGGGUGACAGGUGGUGCAUGGCUGUCGUCAGCUCGUGUCAUGAGAUGUUUGGUUAAGUCCCGCAACGAGCGCAACCCUACUCUUUAGUUAAUUGUCUAAAGAGACUGAACAGUAAUGUAUAGGAAGGUUGGGAUCACGUCAAGUCAUCAUGCCCCUUAUGCCUUGGGCCGCAAACGUGUUACAAUGGCGAGUACAACGUGCCGCAAACCAGCAAUGGUAAGCUAAUCACUAAAAACUCGUCUCAGUCCGGAUAAAAGGCUGCAAUUCGCCUUUUUGAAGUUGGAAUCACUAGUAAUCCCGUGUCAGCUAUAUCGGGGUGAAUACGUUCCCAGGUCUUGUACA